rnacentral:rRNA from 1 species
AUUGAACGCUGGCGGCAGGCCUAACACAUGCAAGUCGAGCGGAUGAAGGGAGCUUGCUCCUGGAUUCAGCGGCGGACGGGUGAGUAAUGCCUAGGAAUCUGCCUGGUAGUGGGGGAUAACGUCCGGAAACGGGCGCUAAUACCGCAUACGUCCUGAGGGAGAAAGUGGGGGAUCUUCGGACCUCACGCUAUCAGAUGAGCCUAGGUCGGAUUAGCUAGUUGGUGGGGUAAAGGCCUACCAAGGCGACGAUCCGUAACUGGUCUGAGAGGAUGAUCAGUCACACUGGAACUGAGACGCGGUCCAGACUCCUACGAGAGGCAGCAGUGGAGAAUAUUGGACAAUGGGCGAAAGCCUGAUCCAGCCAUGCCGCGUGUGAAGAAGGUCUUCGGAUUGUAAAGCACUUUAAGUUGGGAGGAAGGGCAGUAAGUUAAUACCUUGCUGUUUUGACGUUACCAACAGAAUAAGCACCGGCUAACUUCGUG